rnacentral:lncRNA from 1 species
UGUAUUAAUGUCCGACCGAACUUUCGGUUUCGGUUUCGGCCGAGUUUCGGCCAAAAAUCAACUUUCGGCUGCAGUUUCGGUUUCGGCCAAAAUCGGCCGAAACUUUUGCCGAAACCGAAACUUAUCUCGCAAGGUCACGCACGUUCGCCCAACUUCGUUUUCCGCGGCAAAGCUGUGUCGUAAGCCGUCGGCUCUGUUCGGGAAUCAUCGUGUGCCGUUCGGAUAGCUCCGUAGUAAUGCAAUAAAACUUAGUCAGUGCGUGUGCGUCCGACGGAAACUUUAUUUGGAGGUUAUGUUUUGAUGGAACUGAUAACAUAGUAAAAUGUCACAACGAGAAAAAAAUCCGAUUUGGGUACUUUGAUAAAAGUAUCAGUGAUACAUCAAAAGCUGUUUGCAAGAUAUGUAACAAGUGCUAUUCAUUAGGAAACCACGAAGCAAAAAAACAAACAUCACAUGGACUGAAGUUGCAUUUAUCAAAAUUUCAUGUCCAGGAAUACAGGCAAGUACAAAAACGUGUCUCAGAAUUGAAUGAUUUCAAAAGUGAAGCAAAAUUGAAGCGAACAGACUCGAGUGCAUCGUUGAAAUGUAAAUGUUAAAAAUGUUAUUAAGAUUUUUUAAUAUUGUAUUAAAUAAAUGAUUACAAUACAACAAACUGAA